rnacentral:rRNA from 1 species
CACGUAGGGGGCGAGCGUUGUCCGGAUUUAUUGGGCGUAAAGAGCUCGUAGGCGGCUCAGUAAGUCAGGUGUGAAAACUCCAGGCUCAACCUGGAGACGCCACUUGAUACUGCUGUGGCUAGAGUCCGGUAGGGGAGCAUGGAAUUCCUGGUGUAGCGGUGAAAUGCGCAGAUAGUCAGGGAGGAACACCAGUGGCGAAGGCGGUGCUCUGGGCCGGAACUGACGCU